rnacentral:rRNA from 2 species
GGCCCAAACUCCUACGGGAGGCAGCAGUAGGGAAUCUUCGGCAAUGGACGAAAGUCUGACCGAGCAACGCCGCGUGAGUGAAGAAGGUUUUCGGAUCGUAAAACUCUGUUGUUAGAGAAGAACAAGGAUGAGAGUAACUGUUCAUCCCUUGACGGUAUCUAACCAGAAAGCCACGGCUAACUACGUGCCAGCAGCCGCGGUAAUACGUAGGUGGCAAGCGUUGUCCGGAUUUAUUGGGCGUAAAGCGAGCGCAGGCGGUUUCUUAAGUCUGAUGUGAAAGCCCCCGGCUCAACCGGGGAGGGUCAUUGGAAACUGGGAGACUUGAGUGCAGAAGAGGAGAGUGGAAUUCCAUGUGUAGCGGUGAAAUGCGUAGAUAUAUGGAGGAACACCAGUGGCGAAGGCGGCUCUCUGGUCUGUAACUGACGCUGAGGCUCGAAAGCGUGGGGAGCAAACAGGAUUAGAUACCCUGGUAGUCCACGCCGUAAACGAUGAGUGCUAAGUGUUGGAGGGUUUCCGCCCUUCAGUGCUGCAGCUAACGCAUUAAGCACUCCGCCUGGGGAGUACGACCGCAAGGUUGAAACUCAAAGGAAUUGACGGGGGCCCGCACAAGCGGUGGAGCAUGUGGUGUAAUUCGAAGCAACGCGAAGAACCUUACCAGGUCUUGACAUCCUUUGACCACUCUAGAGAUAGAGCUUCCCCUUCGGGGGCAAAGUGACAGGUGGUGCAUGGUUGUCGUCAGCUCGUGUCGUGAGAUGUUGGGUUAAGUCCCGCAACGAGCGCAACCCUUAUUGUUAGUUGCCAUCAUUCAGUUGGGCACUCUAGCAAGACUGCCGGUGACAAACCGGAGGAAGGUGGGGAUGACG